rnacentral:tRNA from 1 species
GCCGAAAUAGCUCAAUUGGGAGAGAGUUAGACUAAGAUCGAAAGUCCCUGGUUCGGUCCCUGGUUCCGGCA